rnacentral:rRNA from 1 species
UACGAGGGGUGCAAGCGUUGCUCGGAAUUAUUGGGCGUAAAGGGUAGGUAGGUGGUCUCAUUUGUCCGGGGUGAAAGCCUUGAGCUUAACUCAAGAAGUGCCCCGGAAACGGUGAGACUCGAGUACUGGAGAGGGUCGUGGAAUUCCCGGUGUAGCGGUGAAAUGCGCAGAUAUCAGGAGGAACACCGGUGGCGAAGGCGGGUCUCUGGGCCGAUACUGACGCUGAGGAGCGAAAGCGUGGGGAGCGAACAGG